rnacentral:lncRNA from 1 species
UUGAUGUUGCUUAAAUGAACAUGUUUUCACAAAAUUUUCCUUCAAAGAUAAUGUUGGAUAAGAUAGGAUAAGAUAAUGUUCGUCUCCAACUAGGAUUCCUCUUUCUUGUGUAAUUCCUUGUCUUCCAAGCCUCAACUUUAAUUUCUCUAGAGUUUAGCACAUGGCUAACACUAUUUAAACAUAAAAAACAUCCAACCCAUAUGCUAUCCACGCAUGUUAUCCAAUCCAAGCUCCAAAUUGCUCUAUUUGGCUAUUUAUUGUCAUCUUUACCAACUGGACCUACAAUAAUACGAAAAUAACUUAAAUUACUACAAUAAAUGGAAAUUAACUAAGUAAAUGUAAAGAAAUAAAUAAGAAAGUUGCAUAAAUAUGCUCCUAUCAAAUUCUCCCACACUUAGGUUUUAAUAGUCCCGGCGCAAAACAAAGAAAACAAAACAAAACCUAAACCUUCCAACAAUUGCCUCAGGGAUUUCCAAUGAAACAUGAUAUUUUAAAAAUCAUUACUUACAUAGAUUUUAGUAAUCCUUACUCUUGAGCUUAUACUUAACUGCAAUAACUGCUCACUAGCUUGCAUUUAAUCAAUUAAAACAACAUGUGAAAGUAGUAACAUGCCUUAGAGAAUUUAUUCAAUUUCUCACCGAAUAUACUCUCUAUUUUCACACAGAUUUUCUGACUACACUCCCUAUACUAUGUAUGACACACCCCGACCGAGAUCAAGGCAUGCUGGCCGUCAUGUGAGAGUGACGUAGCCAUGCGUACAGUGCGGAAGCAAUAUAGAUAAGAAUUAUAUGAAUAAUUAAAAACCAAUUUACUAGAAUGCACUACUAAACAGAAAGUGAUAGGAGUUAGUUACAACAGUAAACACUCCUAAUCAAAGCAUAAAGUCUAGGUGCAGUCCGGUAGGACAUGUACUAGUUAUACAGUACCAGGAAUGUCCUACUAUUAUUUAGAUAAGUCAGAACAGCCGACGUCCUCGAGCCAACAACAACAAGCUUACUUAAAACCUGGAGGGGCGCAAAACAGAAAACGUGAGUGGGCAAAAACAAAUGUUUUACAAAAUCAUUUUCUUUAUCAACAUAUCUAACCCCUCGUUGUAAAACAUGUAUAAUUUUUCCCAGA